rnacentral:rRNA from 1 species
UACGUAGGGGGGCAAGCGUUGUCCGGAUUUAUUGGGCGUAAAGAGCGUGUAGGCGGCCAUGUAGGUCCGUUGUGAAAACUCGAGGCUCAACCUCGAGACGCCGAUGGAAACCAUGUGGCUAGAGUCCGGAAGAGGAGAGUGGAAAUUCCUGGUGUAGCGGUGAAAUGCGCAGAUAUCAGGAAGAACACCCGUGGCUAAGGCGGCUCUCUAUACGGUACUGAGCUGAGAGCGAAAACGUGGGGGAGCGAACAG